GGUGUUUUUGAUCUUAUUGUGAUGAGUUGGUGGACAAUGCUUACUUAUUUGUAUAUUUCCUAGUUUCAGAAUGCUCAAGAGAAAGGAAGAAUCCCCUGAUGUCUUCCUUCCAGAGCUAACAAAUGUGUAGGAAGCCAAGGCAGAGAUGUUACAAAAACAUAUUCUGAAGAAGAGACAACCGGAGACUUGGAUGUACCUCAGUGCACCAUGCUGCCCUGUGCAUUUUUAUUUGAGAUUAAAUCCCAUUGAAUAUAGAGGACAGAUAAGUAUGGUGCAUCUGGUAAAAGAAACGGCUGUAAUCAUUGCAGAAAUGUCAUUUCUGAAAAUAUGCCACACUUUUUAAACUGCUUUUUUCAAGAAGAAUAAUGUUGACAGUAACUCCUUAUUCGGAGCCAUCUUGACUGGUUUGGGAGUGUCUGUUGGAGGGAGCUCAGUGUUGCAUCAUGUGUCUCUUGCACAGGAUGUCAAAAGGAGUUUCCUGCACCCCUGGAGAAUAUAGAAAUGAAGGUAGUUGCUGUUAUAUUAAAAAAAAAAAAAGCAUCAUAGAAGCGAUGCACCAGCUGUGCCUUCUGUUCGCCCUUAGAGGGCACACUGCAGCCUUAUUGGUUUCAAGGAAAGAAACCACUGGUGUAAAUUGAAAGAAUUGUAUAGUGAUGCCUAGAAUACAGUCACUCAAAUAUUUAUAAGCACCUUUUUUUUAAAAAAAAAUGUGGAUGUGUGUGAAAUGCUGACUUAGGUUGUUGAAAAUCUGACCAUAGUGAGCUAAAUCAUGCUAUCUGUGCAUUUCAAAAUAGUAGAGGAGGGAAGUGAGAGCUUUAAAACUUAUUUGCAGCUCAGGGUCUACGCGAGGUAUUUGCAAUUAAUAGAUUUAAGAGUACAUAUCAUUUUAGAAAUGAAAUACCAUUGUGCAGCAAAAAAGCCUUAUGUUACAAAUAUAAGAAGUAUAUUACAGUCUCUAUAGAAUGAGACUGAUAACUAGUUUGGCUGCCCAAGAGAAUAAUGGAACCUACCUAAAAUUUCAGAGCCAAGACUAAGGAUAUAAGCUGUGUUUAGUAUCUUCUCCUUAGAUUUAAUGUUUCAAAUUCAUUUCUAAAGCAGAUCUCUGACUAGGCAGUUUUUCAAUUAAGCCAAGUAAUCAAAUCAAUCCCUCCUUGGCAUCUUUUCAGAGUCUGUUCAUAACUAGCUACGUGCCCAGUGAUGGUUUUGAUAUACAUGAAAUAUGCUUUCUGCCCCCACUACAUUCUUGAUCAUUAUGCUGCACGAAUCUUAUGCCCUAUUUUGGAGAUACUUUAUGUCUGUGAGUGCUCAAUGGGCGACUAUGGGUUGUCUUUUUUCACGCUUACAAGUUUAGCACCAUGAUAGCUCAGGAACAAAUGCUCCUUUGUGAAGGUUAACCAAGUAAUAGUGUAGUGGAGAAAAAUCACAAAAUUGAAGAUACAUCUUUUCUCUAUUUUCCCAUCUUUUAAACCUGGCCAGGAUCAAACCCAGAUGGUCCCUUUGUUUAGCAGACUCCCCCUCCCCCACAAGUCUACCUAGAUCAAAGACUAGAAGCUUUACCAGCUCCCAGUACAGCUCAAAGGCAGCUUUCAGAAGAGAAGAAACUAGCAGAAGGUGGAAUGAAGGACAGGAACUCACCCUAUCCCACAGCAGUACUCAGCUCUCAAACACGGGACCUCCAACCCAGAGUCCUAAGCACAUGAGACACUGUGUUCCUUUAUUUGCUAAUAAUAUAAGGGUGCUAUAACAACAAAACCCAUGUUGGGAGAUGUGAAUAAUUAGCAAAAUAUCAAAGUAGCAAAAAUUUCACUUUAUCCUCAUUAAACUAUGGAUGAUGAUGCUGGCACUAGAAAAACCUUUCAGCUGCUAAGAUCUGAAGAUGUGGCCCAUCAAUAACUAGUUUUGGCCCACUUUGAACUAUCAAGAGCAAUGAAGCUAUAUUGAUCUUCUUAAGCAGUUAUGCCAAUUUUAAGCCUAAUAUUCUACUGAGUGAAUCUGCAGACUGUGGUGGUUUGCCUAUUAGACAUAAAUUUAUGCCACACCUUCCUCCAAUUCCAUCUCCCAGCUCUCCAGGUGACAAGUUUAUCCAUGGAUGGAAGACAAGAAAAAUGGAACAGAUAUCUGAGGUCCAAUGUCUUCAUCUUCUAAUGUUUCAGCUCUUCAAAGUAUUGAUUAAAACACACCCACUCCAUUUUAUUGAUACAUGUUUAUAGUAAUAAAUCACAGCUUCAUGAAUUUCAGUUUUCACCAGAGAUAGGCUAAAUUUGAGGAAGUGCCUGGGAGAAGCACCAAGAGCUGUUUAAUUUUUUUUAAAGUUCAGUUGCCAUUACUUAACUUCCAGAUAUCUAAAAAAAAAAAAAAAAAAAAGACACACAACCUUUUUGCAUAACUUCAAGAGGCUGAAUAAAAUUACGCCAUCUCCGAUUUCUUCAGGACCAUUCAGCUGAAAAAGUAUUUUAGACCAAACAUCUUUGCAGCUUCUGAGGCUGGGUUUUCACUGUAUUAUCAUGUGUCAGAAGAGAAAUUUGAAUGGCUGUGUUAUCUGUGUUUACAGUGCCAUAAGGAUAUGUUAUGCUAGAGAGGAAGUAAUAGUGUUAUUUAUUAUAGCAAUGUAAUUAGCAGUACUGUUAUUGCUAAACAUUGCUAUAACCUCUUGUCAGCAUCGUGUAACUCCACCAUAACUCACUGCGUAUUUUAUAUCCCAAAAGGAGUUAUUGACUGGGUUUACAUGAUGCUAUCAAACUGGUACUUCUGUGGAUUAAAUACAAACCUACUGUUUCAGUAGCCUUGCAUCUGUUGCUGAAUAUUUUCUUUCAUCUCUCUAUCAAGACAAAUUCUGACAUCAGAACAGAAGCAGUAUAUUAUGAUCCCCAGACAAUGAAUCUUCAUCAAAACAGAAUCUCCAACAAGUUGCUGUCAAGUUAACCAUGUCAUGAAAGACAUUUUCUGAUGACCCAUGUGUUGUUAUUGUUGAUGUUAUUGUAGUUGCACUUACAACUGCUCUUCACCAAUAAGCAAAUUAAACAUUUUACAUGU